GGGGACGUGGCGCAAUGGUAGCGCGUCUGAUUCCAGAAAUGGAGGUUCCAGAAGGUCGCUCGUUCGACUCGGGUCGUCCUCA
rnacentral:tRNA from 1 species